rnacentral:rRNA from 1 species
UACGGGGGGAGCAAGCGUUGUCCGGAAUCAUUGGGCGUAAAGCGCGCGUAGGUGGCCCUGUAAGUCCGUUGUGAAAGUCAAAGGCUCAACCUUUGAAAGCCGAUGGAUACUGCAGGACUAGAGUACGGAAGAGGCGAGUGGAAUUCCUGGUGUAGCGGUGGAAUGCGCAGAUAUCAGGAGGAACACCAAUAGCGAAGGCAGCUCGCUGGGACGUUACUGACACUGAGGCGCGAAAGCGUGGGGAGCGAACAGG